UACGUAGGGUGCAAGCGUUGUCCGGAAUUAUUGGGCGUAAAGAGCUCGUAGGCGGUUCGUCGCGUCGGCUGUGAAAUCCCGAGGCUCAACCUCGGGUCUGCAGUCGAUACGGGCGGACUGGAGUUCGGCAGGGGAGACUGGAAUUCCGUGGUGUAGCGGUGAAAUGCGCAGAUAUCAGGAGGAACACCGGUGGCGAAGGCGGAUCUCUGGGCCUUACCUGACGCUCAGGCGCGAAAGCUAGGGGAGCGAACAGG
rnacentral:rRNA from 1 species